AGAAUCAACGCUGGCGGCGUGCCUAACACAUGCAAGUCGAACGAGAAAGUGGAGCAAUCCAUGAGUAAAGUGGCGCACGGGUGAGUAACACGUGACUAACCUACCUUUUAGUGGGGGAUAACCUAGGGAAACCUGGGCUAAUACCGCAUAACACUUACGAGUCAAAGCAGCAAUGCGCUGAAAGAGGGGGUCGCGGCCGAUUAGCUAGUUGGCGGGGUAAUGGCCCACCAAGGCAGUGAUCGGUAUCCGGCCUGAGAGGGCGCACGGACACACUGGAACUGAAACACGGUCCAGACUCCUACGGGAGGCAGCAGUAGGGAAUUUUGCGCAAUGGGGGAAACCCUGACGCAGCAACGCCGCGUGGAGGAUGAAGUCCCUUGGGACGUAAACUCCUUUCGAUCGGGACGAUAAUGACGGUACCGGAAGAGAAGCCCGGCUAACUUCGCGCCAGCAGCCGC
rnacentral:rRNA from 1 species